GGCGGGAUCUUGAACGAGAUCUCCAGCCGCCCCGCGGAACUCACCUGGCUCACCUUCCCCGGAGCCAGGCGUACCCGUGAGGCGCGGAUGGGGAUCUGGUCCAAGAAACCGCUGAAC
rfam:Arthrobacter sp. Edens01 contig_28, whole genome shotgun sequence.